UCCUGUAUGACAAGAUCUGCUCUAUUGUGUUGGUAUCCAGUUGGCACAAAGCUCCCACUUACACCUCCUUAUCCUCUUGAUUCCAGAACCUGCUUGAUUCAGGUGAAAGAGUCAUUUGAAAGAAGGAUUUUCAUCUCUCCAGAAGAUAUAUUGCAUGGUGAUUUGCUGGCCAAACAAGCUGUUCUUCUCAAAGUCUCCAGGAAUCCACAAGGGAAGGGGAGCAGGACACGAGUGGAGAAGCAAAGAGCCGACUCAGCAUCAGCCGCUGAGUUGGGCAACUUAUCAGUUAUAAACUAA
rnacentral:lncRNA from 1 species